AGCAAAAGUAGCAUAGCCUCUCUUCAAUAAAGACCUCUGAAAGUCAAUGAAGCACAUCAAACAUUUGGAAAAGGUACAUCCUUGAUCUGAUGGAUUUUCCCUGUAAGAGAAUUGAUUGUUAUGUAGUACCAGAGUCUUCUGAAAGCCAAGAUUGAUCUAACUUUGUCGGUGCAUCCGGGAAAUGAUACAGCAGUUUCCAUCUAAAGUGGUAUUGCUGGAUUUUGAGGUAGGUUGUUUCUUAACUUUCUUAGAAAUCACCAC